rnacentral:antisense_RNA from 1 species
CUUCAGCGAGCCGAGCCACAGCGGGUCGGCGGUGUCCGGACGCUGCCCGUACGUGGCGAUCAGCGCAUUCGCCUC